UAACCAGGUGCUCCGCAGGGUGCAGCUUUUUACGACCGCAAAGGUUGAACCCUGAACAAUUGGGGCAAGUAUGGACACAACAUUCAAGCUUGAUACAGUUCUGAAUUUGGAUUGUGAUCAAAUUUUUGACAUACUAUGGGUUUCUUACACAAAACAAAUGUCAAGAUCUUACACAUCUAUUGCACAAUAUUGUGCAAUUAAAGAUUUAUCCUUCAAACUU
rnacentral:lncRNA from 1 species